GAUCUGUAGCUGGUCUGAGAGGAUGACCAGCCACACUGGGACUGAGACACGGCCCAGAUUCCUACGGGAGGCAGCAGUGAGGAAUUUUGGACAAUGGACGAAAGUCUGAUCCAGCCAUGCCGCGUGCGGGAAGAAGGCCUUCGGGUUGUAAACCGCUUUUGUCAGGGAAGAAACGGCUUUUUCUAAUACAGAGAGCUAAUGACGGUACCUGAAGAAUAAGCACCGGCUAACUACGUGCCAGCAGCUGCGGUAAUACGUAGGGUGCAAGCGUUAAUCGGAAUUACUGGGCGUAAAGCGUGCGCAGGCGGUUAUGCAAGACAGAGGUGAAAUCCCCGGGCUCAACCUGGGAACUGCCUUUGUGACUGCAUAGCUAGAGUACGGUAGAGGGGGAUGGAAUUCCGCGUGUAGCAGUGAAAUGCGUAGAUAUGCGGUGGAAUACCGAUGGUGAAGGCAAUCCCCUGGACCUGUACUGACGCUCAUGCACGAAAGCGUGGGGAGUAAAUAGGAUUAGAUAUCCUGGUAGUCCACGCCCUAAACGAUGUCAACUGGUUGUUGGGAGGGUUUCUUCUCAGUAACGUAGCUAAUGCGUGAAGUUGACCGCCUGGGGAGUACGGCCGCAAGGUUGAAACUCAAAGGAAUUGACGGGGACCCGCACAAGCGGUGGAUGAUGUGGUUUAAUUCGAUGCAACGCGAAAAACCUUACCUACCCUUGACAUGUCUAGAAGUUACCAGAGAUGGUUUCGUGCUCGAAAGAGAACUAGAACACAGGUGCUGCAUGGCCGUCGUCAGCUCGUGUCGUGAGAUGUUGGGUUAAGUCCCGCAACGAGCGCAACCCUUGUCAUUAGUUGCUAUGUAAGGGCACUCUAAUGAGACUGCCGGUGACAAACCGGAGGAAGGUGGGGAUGACGUCAGGUCAUCAUGGCCCUUAUGGGUAGGGCUACACACGUCAUACAAUGGCCGGGACAGAGGGCUGCCAACCCGCGAGGGGGAGCUAAUCCCAGAAACCCGGUCGUAGUCCGGAUCGCAGUCUGUAACUCGACUGCGUGAAGUCGGAAUCGCUAGUAAUCGCGGAUCAGCUUGCCGCGGUGAAUACGUUCCCGGGUCUUGUAUACACCGCCCGUCACACCAUGGGAGCGGGUUCUGCCAGAAGUAGUUAGCCUAACCGCAAGGAGGGCGAUUACCACGGCAGGGUUCGUGACUGGGGUGAAGUCGUAACAAGGUA
rnacentral:rRNA from 1 species